rnacentral:rRNA from 1 species
UACGGAGGGUGCAAGCGUUAUCCGGAUUUACUGGGUUUAAAGGGUGCGUAGGCGGGCUUUUAAGUCAGUGGUGAAAACUUCGAGCUUAACUCGAAAACUGCCAUUGAUACUAUUAGUCUUGAAUUUAGUUGAGGUUGGCGGAAUGUGUCGUGUAGCGGUGAAAUGCUUAGAUAUGACACAGAACACCGAUUGCGAAGGCAGCUGGCUAAACUAAAAUUGACGCUGAGGCACGAAAGUGUGGGGAGCGAACAGG